rnacentral:lncRNA from 1 species
AGAAAAUACACUAGAAUUCUUUUUCUACAUCCAAGUCCUAAAGUGAAGAAAUGUUUCUCUUCUGGUCAGCCAAGUAAGCGGAAAUUCCUGAGAGGGGUGCUUCUCUCGGCCCUCUGCCAGCCAGUGCCUGCCAGACCUGUGACUGAAGAAACACUGCCAGGCUGUCCUACAGUCAAGAAGGAAGUGGAAAAUUAUAGAAACAUGCUUCCAGUCAUCCACAGGCUCUGUCUGCGCAGGGGCUGUCAAAUCAACCAACAACAAAACAAUGGGCCCUGGCAGGAUGAAAGUGGAAAUGACCUCCUCUCAGCUGAAAUACAGUAACUGGAUACAUCUUCUCAGUGGCAAGAGCGAAUUACAGAGUCACAAGUCUGCCAUCGCCCACGUUUAACAAUAUGGGUGGAGGCUGCCAUGGCAGGUUGACCAACACACAAUAACUUGUCAUCCUACAGUGACUUGCCUGGGUGCCUUAGGCUUCUCAUUUUUAACUGUGUUGCUAAGCUACAUCCAAGGCUGCCAAUGGGCAGGGUAGAAGAGUGAUAUCUUAGUCAAAAAGCAUCCUUAAAGCACGAUCUCUCCGAGAAUGGCAGCUAGAAACCCGUAUAAAUUCACUGUUUUAUACCCUCCAUUAAUGUGCUGGAAGGGGAGAACAUGCAGGGGGAAUCUGUCCUGGUGCAGGGAACUGAGGACCAGGUAGAUGAGCAGAGAUGUAAAGCCAUUUCAGGAUGUGCUGUGCUGCAGCAGCAGGUAUGUUCAUCAUGGCUGUGAAGGGAGCUGGGCAUGCCCAUCCAGGAAUGAGGGAGCAAUAGAGCACUGCAGGCUCCAGCAAAAUCCCUGCUAUUCAGCUCCUUUGUAGCUCAGUGUAAUAGGACUGCAGGAGCAGCAUCUCCACUAGCUGAGAGGAACGGAAUGUUCCUGGCAAUACGUUUUUGGUGAGAUGAUAUGUCAGGACUGAUAGUGGUGUGUCUGGAGUCCCCAGUCUGCACUGAGCACAUAGCACAUGUGUAAUUUGCUGUAUCUGUCUUUUUUUACUCUCUGCGCACCAUCACUUUGGCUGUGGAUUCGUUUUUCCUGUGCCAGACAAAAACUCCCUUAAAA